rnacentral:lncRNA from 1 species
UCCAGCCAGAGUGAUGGAGCUGGUUGCUAUGGCAACUGCAUCUGUUUACAGGACCCACAGAUCUCAGAGUCCAUUAACCCUUUGCCUUCCCAGCCCCCUCCCUGACCAAGCAGCAGUUGGCUCUCAUCAGCCCCCAGAGACCUAGCCCCCACCACCGGCUCACCUUGGGUUUCCCUACCCCUCCUGUUGGGGGCUUCCCAGCCCCCCAGGUUUCCUCUCCAUUUUCCAGCUUCCCUCCUCUUCCUGUCCCCCUUCCCCUUUGUCUCUCACAUACCCCUUGGUCUGUCCCUCGCCCUGGCCUAGCCUCACACCUGGUUCUUCAAAAUGUCCAUUCCUCAUCCUGCAUCCGACCCAUCGCUUCCCCCAGGCUCCCUCCUCCUCCCCUCCCGCUCCUCUCCUCCAGGGCCUCCUCUGCCUGGCUCCCGUCCCCUCACUACAGAACUAUCAAUCAGCCUCCAGCUGGUUGUUGGGGGCCCCUGGCCCCACUUUACUGCCCUCCGUCCCCACCCCCACCCAAACCCCGUGCCUGUUUCUGUAACAGCCUGCCCAGCUCGGCCCUGGCUGGCUCAGCUCAGCAUCCUCUGCUCACACCUCCCGCGCACACCUCCCUGAUUGUCAUUCCCUUUCAGGGGUCCUCUUAUCCCUCCCUCAAUCCCAUUUCCCAUAGCCCUUCCCUCCUUCCUCCCGGUGCCUCACCUGCUUCUUUCCCGGGCUCUCCACUUCCUCUCUCCUUUCUCUUCCUGGGACCUGCCGCCUGCUCCAUGGUUCCCCCUGCGCUCCCUUUGCCAUCCCCUGCCACCUUGCUCUUUGACAUCGGGAAUCCAUAGACUGAACCCCUACUGUGUGAAGAGUGAGCCCCCAAAGGCACCUCAGCACACACCCCAGCUCCAGCCCUGUCACUCCUUGGCCUGGCUCUGCUCUCUCUCUGGGUCUUGGUUGCUUUGUCUUUCCCCCUCUCCCCCGCACCCCGAGUUACUCUAUUUUUCUUUCUGUGGGGUAGGGGCAGGAGGGCUAGGGUUCUAAGGACUGGAGGGAGCUGGGGGCCACAGGCUAGGGAAUGCAGAGCUGACCAGCUCCUGGGAGAAGGGCUCCUGGAAUUCAAGAAGCCUCUUUUUGGGGCCUUCCCCACCCAGGGCCUUCCCACAGCCCCUGUGGGGUCCCUGUCCUCAGGGGAUCCUCAGCAGUUUAUCCACCACGCCUGCAUUGAUGCUUCCCAAAGAUCAGGCUCUGGGUGGCUUUGAGGGGGUCAAGGAUGAAUAAAACCCAGACUUUGCCCUUGUGGAGUGCCCAGGCUGGGAGGAAAGGCCCAAGCUUUGAAGAAAUGUCUUUGUUCAUUCAACAGAUAUUGAUUGAGCACCUGUGUGAGGUACUCUGUCCACUCAGCCAUUUAGCUGGACAAUCUUAGCAAGUCAUUUGUCCCAAGUCUGGUUCCUCGCCGGCAAAGUGGACCUGUGCACAUCAGAGUGCCUAGUGCGGCCUGCUGGGUGGUAGGGGAUAGGAGGCGUGGUCCUCAGUCCACAGCUGCUAAGAACUAGACUCUUAACAGGGCGGGACCCCAGAUCCCACUCCAGACCCUCAGCCCAGGCCCCAGUGGUUCCUAGGCAACCCUGGCGGUGAGUGACGCGUGUCAGCUGUCAC